UUUUAUUCUUUCAUAGACAUCCGACAAAAUUGAAAUAAUAUAAAGAUUAGUAUGACCUUUGUACAAGGAUGACAGACACAAAUCAAGAAAUUGACCAUUGUUUU
rfam:Musa acuminata subsp. malaccensis Doubled-haploid Pahang (DH-Pahang) genomic chromosome, chr11